CAUGGGUAAGAAGAGAGAAAGCAGAUUGUCCUGAGCCCCAAGUGUCUGUGAUUCUCUUAGCUAAGUAAGGAAUCAGUGCCAGAGACAGAGGUUGCUGGAGCUGAGAGGAGACGUAGUCAAGAAGAUUGGAGAAGGCUCUGCGGAGAAGGUGAACUUGAGCUAAGACUUGAAGGGAGGGCAGGCUUGAAGGGAUGAAACAGCCUCCUCUGUGCUAAAGAGAGGAGUGACAGGGCCAUCAUCAGGCAAAGGGGACAUUACCAGGCAAAGGGACACCAUUGGUCAAAGGCGAUGGUGGAGACAAGACAUUCUGGAAGAGCCCGGAUCAGAGAGAUUUGGGGCCAGGAGCCGGCAUCAGGGGACCGGCUCCCUAAGGAACCAUGGCACCACUGGCUCUCAGCUGGAAAUAAGCAGCAGAUGAAGCACAUGCAUCCUGAGUUUUGGCUCUGGUGAUGGUGGUGGAGCUGUUAAUUCUUGGAGUCCAAAUUCCUGCACCACCUCUGAGUUCCGAGGGGGUGGGGAAGAGCAAGUGAUGGCUGGACAGCAAAGAGGAGUGGAGGCCGGGAGAAUGGGCAGCUAGCCCAGCGCUCUCCAAUAUCUGGGAGUCGACCGCACUCCUGCACUCCCUGUCAUCCCUGCUAAUGGUGAGGAACUGAGCAAAAGAGCCUCCAGAGUGACAGGUGACUUAAAGCGCACGUGGCUCUACAUUUACAAUUGAAGUGGGCUUUGGAGAUUGCAGAUUCUGAAUACCUGCUGGGGUGGUACAGAGGCUGUGUUCUGGUUUUGCCAUCUUGGACAGGGGGUUGGGAGUCUGGGGGGCUGCCUUCUCUCCUCUUCGUGCAGCUCUGCUGGGGCCUGUCUCACACUUGUGAGCAGAGUUAUGGCUGGAUUCCAGGGGAGACAGAGCUUGGUUGUGAAAUGUAAGGUUGUGAAAUGAAGGGCUUGUGAAAUGAACAAAGAAUGUAUUUAAGGGUCUUUCAUUUUAAAUCGAACACUUACAUAGCACUUACUACUUGCAAAGCUCCACUCUAAGCACUUUACCCAUCUUAAUUCAUUUAAUUCUCUUCUCAACCCUAAAAAGCAGGUAUUACCAUUGCUCCAAUCUUACAGAUGAGGAAACUCAGGCAUGGAGAGGUUGAGCGACUUGCCCAAAUUCAUGCAGUUAGGACCUGGCAGAGCUGCGCUUUGAACCCAGGCUGCCUGGCUCUAGAGUGUGUGCACGAAACUUCACUGCCAUAUGAACAAAACUGCAGGACAUAUGUUCUCAAAGCAAAUAAGCCUCCCAGAGAGGCUUUUCCUGAUGGCUUCAAGGACCUGCCCUAGCCUGGUCUGACUUCCCAGAGGGGAUCCAGUCCCAACAUUGGCCCUAUCUUUAGACCACAUUUCCAUCCCAUUCUCAGUGAAAACCCUGAGUCAUGACAGAAGACAACCAAUGCUGGAGAGAGGAGGUUUCAGGUAAUGCCUGUUUUAGGCAUCCUCUCCUUUAAGAAAAAUUUUUAUAUCAAGGCACCUCAACAUAAUAAUACCUUUAUUGCAUAUAGGUAGAAUAUAAAACUGACUUGUAAGACCACUCUGUGUGUGUGUGUGUGUGUGUGUGUGUGUGUGUUCUCUAGCUAGCCUGCAGGGACGGGACUCAGUUCCUCAGCAGCCCAGUGCCUGGCACAACAGGCAUUGAAUUAGAAGUGCCAGACAUUUUCAAACUUUAAGGUAUAAUUUGUUUGGACACUUUGGCUGGGCAUUUUGAUAAAACAUCCCUAGUUAAAAGAUGGCAACCAACAGGCAUCAAACCAAAACCACCCUCAAAGAGCAAAAUAUAAGGCCUUUGUAACAAGAGUCACAGAGUUAUGGCUGGCCGCGGUGGCUCAUGCCUGUAAUCCUAGCACUUCGGGCCGUCUCUAUUAAAAAC
rnacentral:lncRNA from 10 species